GAUGAACGCUGGCGGCGUGCCUAAUACAUGCAAGUCGAGCGAACAGACGAGGAGCUUGCUCCUCUGACGUUGGCGGCGGACGGGUGAGUAACACGUGGAUAACCUACCUAUAAGACUGGGAUAACUUCGGGAAACCGGAGCUAAUACCGGAUAAUAUAUUGAACCGCAUGGUUCAAUAGUGAAAGACGGUUUUGCUGUCACUUAUAGAUGGAUCCGCGCCGCAUUAGCUAGUUGGUAAGGUAACGGCUUACCAAGGCAACGAUGCGUAGCCGACCUGAGAGGGUGAUCGGCCACACUGGAACUGAGACACGGUCCAGACUCCUACGGGAGGCAGCAGUAGGGAAUCUUCCGCAAUGGGCGAAAGCCUGACGGAGCAACGCCGCGUGAAUGAUGAAGGUCUUCGGAUCGUAAAACUCUGUUAUUAGGGAAGAACAAAUGUGUAAGUAACUAUGCACGUCUUGACGGUACCUAAUCAGAAAGCCACGGCUAACUACGUG
rnacentral:rRNA from 1 species